rnacentral:rRNA from 1 species
GGGGAUUAGUGGCGAACGGGUGAGUAACACGUGGGCAAUCUGCCCUUCACUCUGGGACAAGCCCUGGAAACGGGGUCUAAUACCGGAUAACACUGCGGAUCGCAUGGUCUGCGGUUGAAAGCUCCGGCGGUGAAGGAUGAGCCCGCGGCCUAUCAGCUUGUUGGUGGGGUGAUGGCCUACCAAGGCGACGACGGGUAGCCGGCCUGAGAGGGCGACCGGCCACACUGGGACUGAGACACGGCCCAGACUCCUACGGGAGGCAGCAGUGGGGAAUAUUGCACAAUGGGCGAAAGCCUGAUGCAGCGACGCCGCGUGAGGGAUGACGGCCUUCGGGUUGUAAACCUCUUUCAGCAGGGAAGAAGCGAAAGUGACGGUACCUGCAGAAGAAGCCCCGGCUAACUACGUGCCAGCAGCCGCGGUAAUACGUAGGGCGCAAGCGUUGUCCGGAAUUAUUGGGCGUAAAGAGCUCGUAGGCGGCUUGUCGCGUCGGAUGUGAAAGUCCGGGGCUUAACCCCGGGUCUGCAUUCGAUACGGGCAGGCUAGAGUGUGGUAGGGGAGAUCGGAAUUCCUGGUGUAGCGGUGAAAUGCGCAGAUAUCAGGA